AGCGAACGCUGGCGGCAGGCCUAACACAUGCAAGUCGAACGAACUCUUCGGAGUUAGUGGCGGACGGGUGAGUAACACGUGGGAACGUGCCUUUUGGUUCGGAAUAACUCAGGGAAACUUGUGCUAAUACCGAAUGUGCCCUUCGGGGGAAAGAUUUAUCGCCAUUAGAGCGGCCCGCGUCUGAUUAGCUAGUUGGUGAGGUAACGGCUCACCAAGGCGACGAUCAGUAGCUGGUCUGAGAGGAUGACCAGCCACACUGGGACUGAGACACGGCCCAGACUCCUACGGGAGGCAGCAGUGGGGAAUCUUGCGCAAUGGCGAAAGCCUGACGCAGCCAUGCCGCGUGAAUGAUGAAGGUCUUAGGAUUGUAAAAUUCUUUCACCGGGGACGAUAAUGACGGUACCCGGAGAAGAAGCCCCGGCUAACUUCGUG
rnacentral:rRNA from 1 species